UACGUAGGGUCCGAGCGUUGUCCGGAAUUACUGGGCGUAAAGAGCUCGUAGGUGGUUUGUCGCGUUGUUCGUGAAAACUCACAGCUUAACUGUGGGCGUGCGGGCGAUACGGGCAGACUUGAGUACUGCAGGGGAGACUGGAAUUCCUGGUGUAGCGGUGGAAUGCGCAGAUAUCAGGAGGAACACCGGUGGCGAAGGCGGGUCUCUGGGCAGUAACUGACGCUGGAGGAAGCGAAAGCGUGGGGAGCGAACAGG
rnacentral:rRNA from 1 species